GGUCUGUGUGUUCAUGCCUGUUUGAUUUCCACUCACACCGUCCUUAGGUGUGUCCUGAGGACUGCUGGGCCCUGCGUUAGAGAGCAGUGAGUGAAGUGGGCCGUAGGCCCCCCUGGGUCCUGGCCCUGGCUCCCAGCUGUGCCUGCUUGGAUCAUUUCAGCAGGAGGGAGAGGUACCAGGAGCUGGGAUUUACCAGUGGUUUGGCUCCCUCCACUCGUGGCCUGUCCUGGGGGCAUGGCUUGGAAGGGCUGCUUUCUUCUAGACCUGGCUGUGUCUCCUGGCUGGUGGAGCUCAGAGCUUUUGGCUAAUGAUGCUGAAAUCCUUGUGGCUGGGGUGGACUGGACACGUGCUGUGCGUGUUUCCCAUUGGCACAGAGAGCUCCAGACAAAGCCCGGGGGUGGCAGCCAGCCCCCAGCCGCUCUCGUUUAACCAGGAAGCCAAUGCUGCCUCACUGCAAACCGCUUCCUUUGCCUGGGGGAGCUGGCCUGUGCUCUAGCAGAUUACCAGCAGGUGCUGGAGCUGAGCCCGGGGCACUGUGUGGUGCAGAGAACAGUUGCAGCAGCACUGCAGGGAUGGCAGGACCUGGUGGUGAGGCAGUACCAGCAGGUGGAAGCUCCCUUCUCUGAAGCCAUUGGGCAUGACCCCCAGAAACUGCUGUGCUGCCUGUGCUGGAGGAGGGUGGAGAGUGCAAGGAAAGCUGCUGCCCUGUGUCCAUGACUUGACCCAAUGCAUGGUUGUCCCCAGGUCCCCUGUUGUGACACUCCCCAGAAGCUAAAGCCAGCAGAAGGAUGUACAAGAGACUCAACAGCUCAUAGCACCAACUAUCAGCCUGCUGUAGAAAUCAUCCGUGAAUAAAAGGAAUUUCCAAAAC